CAGGCCACCAAAGCAGCAGGAUGUGAGCUGCCACACUGAAAAAGGUUAAGCAGCUCCUAGACUUUGGAUGCUCCAAAUUUUGUAUACCUGAUAGAAGAUUUCUUUAUGUGGAUUGCAGAUAACAAAGUGCUAUUACAGGUGGAUUUUCUGUCCUUAGCCGUGGCUCCGCCAUGACUCAUGACUUCAUCAUACUGAGAAUUUCCACAUGAUGAAUAAUGGAGUGAGCGGUUAAGAAACAUGCCCACCAAACUCAUCCGAAGAGCUCACACAACGCUCCAGGGUUCACUCUCACAGGCAGAAACAUGACAUCUUGAGGAUUUGCUAAUUUUACUGGAAGGGGAGGAGGUGUCAAUCUAUUCCAGGCGAGAGAUCAGAGACUCCAUACCAGGCAGCUACAGCUGUCUUGGGCCAAGAUUUAACCACAGUUCUCAGGAAAAGAACCAUUAGCAGAAGGUGGGACUGACAGACUUCCACACAGAAGAAAAAACUAUUGCCAGCAGAGAAACAAACCUAAUUCAUAACAGUUGGGGCACAGGGAACCAGGCAUCAUUGCUCCCAGAAGAGACUGAAGCACCACUGCAAAAAAACUCCACAGACUAAAUCUUGGAAGUCUGAACAUUUCUGUAAGGAUGAUGGGAUGGCCAUGGCUGAAGUGACUGUCACCCUGAAUUCUGUGAAGGAGAUAUGAAGACAUGGGCAAACAAAGAAUGCUGGACUCAACCAACACUCAUCUGCCAGAACCACAUGUUAAGGGGAAUAAAAUGUCCAUUAGAGGCGAUUAUCUUAAAAAUGCAUAUAUAUUCCACACACUGAAAAGCUGGUGGACAAUCAGUGUCAGUAACCACCAACAACCAAGUUUAUGAAAAAGUUCUGUGAUCUUGAAGGUAAAAGUUCUAGAGGAACAUGGUCAGCAAUAUGGACAACUCAAAUGAUGAUGACUCCACGGCUGUUUGGAAGUCUUGCCUCUUUGUAUUUAUGUGCACAACUCAUAGCAGGAACUUUGUCUGCUACCACCUCCUGAACUGUUUCUGAAGGAAACGUAGGAUGGAGUUUUGUCUUCUAGAGGGAUUCCCUCACACUUAUGAACAUCUUGCAAGGUCCAAGCUGCCAGCCAACCAGUUCCAUGGAGCCUGGAAAAAAAGCACACAGGUAAUCAGCCACCCCAACAAGUUGAGAUGGUCAAGCAUCUCAACUCUACGAUUCCCACAAAAUCAUCAAAAAGCAGUCUCAAGAAACCUGAUAAUGCCCACAAAAUCAACAGGAAGCAGUCACAAGAGAUCUUAUGAUGCUCUAUUCCCAUCCAUUAAAGACCCCAAACGCCCCAAAUUUUUAUAACAAACAAAGGAUGGAAUGUAAUGAUUCAGUCACACAGCAUGGCUGACACUUCUGGGUUCUAAGGCCACGCAUGCAUGUGAGGACAAGCCCUCAGGCAGAAGGGCCAAAUGGCCCCAGGGGAUCUUAAAGGACCCUGCAUGACCCAUGUGCGGCAUGGUUGCAUCACCAAUGUCUGACACAACUGUGUGAGCCCUUGUGUGCAUGUGUGAACGGUCAUCUGUGUAUGACAUAACCAUGUCAUCCCCCUGUAUGCAUGCAUUAGGCAGCUUUUAAAAG